rnacentral:lncRNA from 1 species
AUAGGCAAAAUCUGGAAGCAGUCCCUUUGAAAACCAGCACAAGACAACGAUGUCCUCUCUCACCACUCCUAUUCAACAUAGUAUUGGAAGCUCUGGCCAGAGCAUUCAGCCAAUCUUGGCAGAUUGAGGUACUGCAAAAAUCAUGAGCAGAAGACUUUAUGCCAUUGAAUGCCAUUGAGACGGUCAAUGUAACAAAGGACAGCUGUUUGUUUUUCUUCUGCUUUUCAUGGGCCAGUAUCAACUAAAGAUUGUCAGUUUUUAAGACCUUACUUAAGGAUGCAAUGAUUAGUAAAGAAAAUUCAACAAUCUUAUGUUUACCUGAUAAAUAUCUUAUGAGUGUAUGCUCCAGGGUACAACAGGGGUGAAAGGUUAAUUUGUCAUUUUGUUUUCUUUUUUUCUUUUUUCUUUUUUUAAUUGAGACAAGAUCUUGUUGUGUUGCCCAGGCUGGUCUUGAACUCCUGGGCUCAAGAAAUCCUCCUGCCUUGGCCUCCCAAAGUGCUAGGAUUAAAAGCAUAAGCCACCAUUCAGACUAAUUCUGCUCUCAUGUAAGUGUACUAUCAGACUCACAGUUUGAAAUCUGUAGACUGGCACCGCCUUCUAUCUACUUUAGCCAAGCCCAGGUAUCAAAUGUGGUCAAUGGUAUACUCUAUAUCCAGUAACCUCAAGAAUUAGAAUAUUUUUAGUUAAAGGGACAAGUUUAAAAAGAUGGCUGACUCACAUAUUACUUAAGGUCUGUAAGCCUAAUGUCAUUAAAAAUAUGUUUUUUGCUUCCUACUUUCAUCUGUUUUAGCUUAAUUUUCAGUCAUUUGAAGAUGUCUAACAAUCCCUUAUAUACAUCAUUCCUACAUCCUUGGGCAUUGGUUUUGCUAGACACCAUUAUCCCAACACUGGCGACAAAAAUGAAUCUUAAUGAUAGAGUUGUAUUGUGUGUUCAGACCAAAAUAUGUGUGUAUGUAUGUUGUGAAGAUGUUACUACUUCAUGAACCCCAUGAAUGAAUUGAGAGUAAAGAAAUGAUGGCUCUCGAGAAGAAAAUCAAAUAUCAUUUGCAGAAAAAUUGAGUGAAAACUUGGCUUUUUAUAGUGGUGAAUCCAUUCUAAGAAUUUAAAAUGUGCUGUAAAUAAUGUAAUGUAAAGAAUGUAAGUAGUAUACACUAAGAUUGAGAAUUAGUAUGAGCAGUAUAAAAAGAUCAUCCAAGUUCUCUUUCUAAUUUCAUUGAUGGGUAGCAUUAAAAGCUUCUUUAUUAUUUACUGAUUCAUG